rnacentral:rRNA from 1 species
AACGAACGCUGGCGGCAUGCCUAACACAUGCAAGUCGAACGAGACCUUCGGGUCUAGUGGCGCACGGGUGCGUAACGCGUGGGAAUCUACCCUCAGGUUCGGAAUAACUCAGAGAAAUUUGAGCUAAUACCGGAUGAUGACGUAAGUCCAAGAUUUAUCGCCUGAGGAUGAGCCCGCUUAGGAUUAGGUAGUUGGUGAGGUAAAGGCUCACCAAGCCGACGAUCCUUAGCUGGUCUGAGAGGAUGAUCAGCCACACUGGGACUGAGACACGGCCCAGACUCCUACGGGAGGCAGCAGUGGGGAAUAUUGGACAAUGGGCGAAAGCCUGAUCCAGCAAUGCCGCGUGAGUGAUGAAGGCCUUAGGGUUGUAAAGCUCUUUUACCCGGGAUGAUAAUGACAGUACCGGGAGAAUAAGCUCCGGCUAACUCCGUG